AUGACACGAGAAAAGAGCUGGAUGGACAGGGAAAGAGAUUCUGUUGAGUGGCAAACUGGCAUGAAGGAUUUCUUGAAUUUUUCCUUUGAUGGUGCUCACCCAGACUCAACAGUCCCAUGCCCAUGUAGGAGAUGUCUCAAUAGUGUUCAGAAAAAGAAAAGGGAUGUUCAUAGUGACUUGCUGUUCAAUGGGAUGGAUCCAACCUACACUCACUGGAUAUACCAUGGUGAACAAUCAGAUGAGGGAAGCAUGUCUGAAGAUUCUGAUAAUGAAGACGCUGUAGAUGAUGGUGUUGGGGUAUGUGACAUGCUCAAUACUCUCAUAAGGGGCACAAACAUGCAAAGCAAUGCAAACAUUGGUGAAGGUGUGGGAGACAUUCUUGUGGAUGAUUCCAAUGGUGAUGAAAGGAACCAGGAGCCAAAUGCAACAGCCAAGGUCUUCUUCGAACUAUUGAAACAGGCAAAAAAAGAGUUGUACCCAGGUUGCAAGGAUUUCACGAAGCUAUCUUUCAUUGUGAAGCUUUACCAAAUCAAGUGUGUGUCUGGGAUGACCAAUAGAGCAUGUGACUUAGUUCUGCAGAUGUUCACGCAGGUGUUGCCAAAGGGUCACUGCAUUCCUACAAAUCCCGGAAAAGUAAGGAAGGUGAUCCGAGAUCUUGGGCUGGACUACAAGAAGAUACACGCGUGUGCUGUCAUUUUGAUACAUGAGAUACAAUCUAUACAAGUACGGCCGCUGAAACUUGUGUGUUGUAAUUUUGAAACACGU
rnacentral:rRNA from 1 species